CCAAACCUCGGCAACUCUACCAAUGACAGCGACUGCAACACGUGGUCGAAUGGUGAGAGGGCUCUCUGCUACGACUGCCAGCCAUGCAAGGCUGGCAUGCGUGCUAACCUGAACAAUGGCUGGAAGAAGAUCAACACCAUCAACGUCAUAUUCCUCGAUGCCGUCUACUCUUUUGGGUGCUGCGGUUUCAGGAACAAUAGGAAGGACAACUCGUACCCAGCCUGGAAGUGA
rnacentral:rRNA from 1 species